rnacentral:rRNA from 1 species
AACGAGCGCAACCCUUGUCCUUAGUUGCUACGAAAGGGCACUCUAAUGAGACUGCCGGUGACAAACCGGAGGAAGGUGGGGAUGACGUCAAGUCCUCAUGGCCCUUAUGGGUAGGGCUUCACACGUCAUACAAUGGUACAUACAGAGGGCCGCCAACCCGCGAGGGGGAGCUAAUCCCAGAAAGUGUAUCGUAGUCCGGAUUGCAGUCUGCAACUCGACUGCAUGAAGUUGGAAUCGCUAGUAAUCGCGGAUCAGCAUGUCGCGGUGAAUACGUUCCCGGGUCUUGUACACACCGCCCGUCACACCAUGGGAGCGGGUUUUACCAGAAGUAGGUAGCUUAACCGCAAGGAGGGCGCUUACCACGGUAGGAUUCGUGACUGGGGUGAAGUCGUAACAAGGUAAC